rnacentral:rRNA from 1 species
GACGAACGCUGGCGGCGUGCUUAACACAUGCAAGUCGAACGGAAAGGCCCUGCUUGCAGGGUACUCGAGUGGCGAACGGGUGAGUAACACGUGGGUGAUCUGCCCUGCACUUCGGGAUAAGCCUGGGAAACUGGGUCUAAUACCGGAUAGGAGCCAUUCUUAGUGUGAUGGUUGGAUAGUUUUUUCGGUGUAGGAUGAGCUCGCGGCCUAUCAGCUUGUUGGUGGGGUAAUGGCCUACCAAGGCGGCGACGGGUAGCCGGCCUGAGAGGGUGGACGGCCACAUUGGGACUGGGAUACGGCCCAGACUCCUACGGGAGGCAGCAGUGGGGAAUAUUGCACAAUGGGCGCAAGCCUGAUGCAGCGACGCCGCGUGGGGGAUGACGGCCUUCGGGUUGUAAACUCCUUUCGCUAGGGACGAAGCUUUUUGUGACGGUACCUAGAUAAGAAGCACCGGCUAACUACGUG